GAUAUGCUAUAAGGCGUAGGAACAGACACCUACAGAGGAUUGCGCAGUCAUCGCGAGUGAACCGGCAUAAGCUCAAAUGUGAAAUCCCCCGGGAAUUGUAAUCUGAAGAGAUUAGGGUCCGGCCGGCAGGGGUUAAGUCCACUCGGAAAGUGGCGCCACAGAGGGUGACAGCCCCGUGAACCCUCUUCUAACGCCCUCAUCCCAGAUCUCCAAGAGUCGAGUUGUUUGGGAAUGCAGCUCUAAGUGGGUGGUAAAUUCCAUCUAAAGCUAAAUACCGGCGAGAGACCGAUAGCGAACAAGUACAGUGAUGGAAAGAUGAAAAGCACUUUGAAAAGAGAGUGAAAAAGUACGUGAAAUUGUUGAAAGGGAAGGGCUUGCAAGCAGACACUUAACUGGGCCAGCAUCGGGGCGGCGGGGAGACAAAACCACCGGGGAAUGUACCUUUCGAGGAUUAUAACCCCGGUCUCAAUUCAAUAGCUAGCCCCGAGGCCUGCAAUCUAAGGAUGCUGGUCGUAAGGUCGCACAGUCGCUU
rnacentral:rRNA from 1 species